GGACUACCCGGGUAUCUAAUCCUGUUUGCUACCCACGCUUUCGUGUCUCAGUGUCAGUAGUGGUCCAGAAAGCCGUCUACACCGCAGGUGUUCCUCCUGAUAUCUACGCAUUUCACCGCUACACCAGGAAUUCCGCUUUCCUCUCCCACACUCAAGCCCCCCAGUUUUCGGCGCACCCUCCCAGUUGAGCCGGGAGAUUUCACACCAAACUUAGAGAACCACCUACACACUCUUUACGCCCAGUAACUCCGAACAACGCUUGCUGCCUACGUAUUACCGCGGCGGCUGGCAC
rnacentral:rRNA from 1 species